AGAGGGAUAGCCCAGAGAAAUUUGGAUUAAUACCUCAUAGUAUAGUACUUUGGCAUCAAGGAACUAUUAAAGUCACAACGGCAAAAGAUGAGCAUGCGUCCCAUUAGCUAGUUGUAAGGUAACGGCUUACCAAGGCUACGAUGGGUAGGGGUCCUGAGAGGGAGAUCCCCCACACUGGUACUGAGACACGGACCAGACUCCUACGGGAGGCAGCAGCGAGGAAUAUUGGACAAUGGGCGCAAGCCUGAUCCAGGCCAUGCCGCGUGCAGGAUGACGGUCCUAUGGAUUGUAAACUGCUUUGUACAGGAAGAAACACUCCCUCGUGAGGGAGCUUGACGGUACUGUAGGAAUAAGGAUCGGCUAACUCCGUG
rnacentral:rRNA from 1 species